rnacentral:rRNA from 1 species
GACGAACGCUGGCGGCGUGCUUAACACAUGCAAGUCGAGCGGUAAGGCCCUUUCGGGGGUACACGAGCGGCGAACGGGUGAGUAACACGUGGGUGACCUGCCCUCAGCUCUGGGAUAAGCCCGGGAAACUGGGUCUAAAUACCGGAUAUGACUCCAUGACGCAUGUUGUGGGGUGGAAAGCCUUGUGCGGCUGAGGAUGGGCCCGCGGCCUAUCAGCUUGUUGGGUGGGGUGAUGGCCACCAAGGCGACGACGGGUAGCCGGCCUGAGAGGGCGACCGGCCACACUGGGACUGAGAUACGGCCCAGACUCCUACGGGAGGCAGCAGUGGGGAAUCUUGCGCAAUGGGCGAAAGCCUGACCCAGCAACGCCG